rnacentral:rRNA from 1 species
CCUACGGGUGGCAGCAGUGAGGAAUAUUGGUCAAUGGGCGCGAGCCUGAACCAGCCAAGUCGCGUGAGGGAUGACGGUCCUACGGAUUGUAAACCUCUUUUGCCGGGGAGCAAGCGUGCGUUCGUGAACGCACGUCGAGAGUACCCGGAGAAAAAGCAUCGGCUAACUCCGUGCCAGCAGCCGCGGUAAUACGGAGGAUGCGAGCGUUAUCCGGAUUUAUUGGGUUUAAAGGGAGCGUAGAUGGGUUGUUAAGUCAGUUGUGAAAGUUUGCGGCUCAACCGUAAAAUUGCAAUUGAUACUGGCAGUCUUGAGUACAGUUGAGGUAGGCGGAAUUCGUGGUGUAGCGGUGAAAUGCUUAGAUAUCACGAAGAACUCCGAUUGCGAAGGCAGCUUACUAAACUGCCACUGACAUUGAUGCUCGAAAGUGUGGGUAUCAAACAGGAUUAGAUACCCCGGUAGUC